GUGCUUGCUUUGGCAGCAUAUAUACUAAAAUUGGAAUGAUACAGAGAAGAUUAGCAUGGCCCCCACGCAAGGAUGACACCCAAAUUUGCGAACUGUUUUAUGUUUUU
ensembl:snRNA U6 U6 spliceosomal RNA